GGCCGGUUAGCUCAGUUGGUUAGAGCGUGGUGCUGAUAACACCAAGGUCACGGGUUCGAUCCCCAUUCGGUCC
rnacentral:tRNA from 1 species